GAGGCUUGGGGCCCAGAUGAGAGGCUCUUUGUGCUGAGGUUCCGAUAGGAAGAAAAAUUUUUGAACAAGUUUCCUGUUGUAUAACCUUAUCUGGAAAGUAAGCAUUUCAGGGUCUUUCCGAAAUUGAAGGGCACGAUUUGCUUGUAUUUGGUUCUUCAGUGUCCCCAGAAAAAGACUUAGGAGCGACAAGCACUGCUAGGGUUUUGCUCUUUCUUUCUGCCCUUUCACCUCAAGCUUUCAACGUCCAGCCUCAUGACAUCAGCCCUUAUUUUUAGGGAUGUUUUGAUGUGAUAUGUGUAACACACUGCUGUGACCCAAGCAUUCGGACGCGGUGGCCAAAGGCACUUGAGCUGAUUCAGGGUCGGCUGUCCUUCACCUUGGGGCCCGGACAAUGGCAGCCUGGGCUGGAUCCCAGGACUCCUGAGGGGGUAGGAACAAUGGGGGCAGGGAGGGCUGGAGGCACUCAGGGGCCCCCCUGCCAGCCUGCAGGACUCCGCUCACCCAGCUUAGACUUUGUGACCCACCAAGACCCCUGUGCCCCUGCCCACUGUGGAGGCUCCCGGGAUGUUGCUGGCCACAUUUAUACUUCAGGAGAAGUCCCAGAGCCGGUACAGAAAGCACCGAGUCACCUUGAGCUUAAUUCUCAAGGUUUGAGCCUCCCCGUACUUGUCAGGCAGAGGUGGCCCUGGCUUGAUGCUGCAAGCAGUGAUUCUAUGUGCUGCCUUCGAAACAGACACCAAGGAGAGGGACCCUGGCUGCAUGUGACCCCCAUUAAUGGUCAAGGGCAGGGAAAAGAAGAGAUGGUCUCUUUUUAGAAAGAACCCCCAGUGAAGCAGCAAAACCACACACACACACACACACACACACACACACACACACACACCCCAAAACACAUCUGAGCUGUGGCAACCAUGGGGAGGUGUAUACCACUAGGGUCACAUUAUCUUCCUUCAAGAAGCCACCAGCUCCUUCAUAGCUGGACUCAGCUUUCCAGCCCAGGCCAUGCCCCACCGGAGGCUGAACUUGGGGGGGGCAUACGUUCUGAGGGCCUGGGCAUUUCUACCCCUCCGGAGUCGUCUAAUAGGUGAUAUUGCUCUGAAGCUGGCUGAGACUCUGCCAGAUUGGCCCCACAGGCCGAGGCUCCCCUUGCUCAACCCUGCUUCCUCCCCUUUCACCUUUUAAAUCUCUUGCCCUUUCUCUGCGUCUGUGCGGCUUCCCGGAGGACCUGUCUGGUAGAGGAGCACAGAUGGGACUAUGUUUGGAAAUCACAGUGAACCAGAGUCGGUUUCCAGCCCCGACUGUACUGCAGAUUGUGCUCUGAGAUGUCCCACAGCCUACACCGAAACUUCUCUAAACGGCUCAUUUAUUUUGGACACUUACGAAAAGACUGAGCAGUGGUUCAGACCAGUAUUAAAGUAAUGACUGCAGCCCCACACGGCAGAGGAUGACAUUCCUGAUAGACUCCUCCUGGCCAUGAAAGAGGCGGACAUAGGGAGAAGGUGGCAUGAGCUGUGCUUUCGCAGGAUAGCCAAGCCUAUAGCACAAACCCCUGGAGGCACAUGGCAAAUAAAAUCGGGGAUGGUGCUGAGUGGUGACAGCCUCAGUCUCGUUCCUUAUGGCAAAGAUACAUAAAUUAACCACUGAUAAAUGGCGUCUUUUGUUGGCAUAUUAGUCAAAAGGUCAAGAA